rnacentral:rRNA from 1 species
AGCGAACGCUGGCGGCAGGCUUAACACAUGCAAGUCGAGCGGGCGUAGCAAUACGUCAGCGGCAGACGGGUGAGUAACGCGUGGGAACAUACCUUUUGGUUCGGAACAACACAGGGAAACUUGUGCUAAUACCGGAUAAGCCCUUACGGGGAAAGAUUUAUCGCCGAAAGAUUGGCCCGCGUCUGAUUAGCUAGUUGGUGAGGUAACGGCUCACCAAGGCGACGAUCAGUAGCGGUCUGAGAGGAUGAUCAGCCACAUUGGGACUGAGACACGGCCCAAACUCCUACGGGAGGCAGCAGUGGGGAAUAUUGGACAAUGGGCGCAAGCCUGAUCCAGCCAUGCCGCGUGAGUGAUGAAGGCCCUAGGGUUGUAAAGCUCUUUUGUGCGGGAAGAUAAUGACGGUACCGCAAGAAUAAGCCCCGGCUAACUUCGUGCCAGCAGCCGCUGUAAU